rnacentral:rRNA from 1 species
AUUGAACGCUGGCGGCAUGCCUUACACAUGCAAGUCGAACGGCAGCACGGGUGCUUGCACCUGGUGGCGAGUGGCGAACGGGGGAGUAAUACAUCGGAACAUGUCCUGUAGUGGGGGAUAGCCCGGCGAAAGCCGGAUUAAUACCGCAUACGAUCCACGGAUGAAAGCGGGGGACCUUCGGGCCUCGCGCUAUAGGGUUGGCCGAUGGCUGAUUAGCUAGUUGGUGGGGUAAAGGCCUACCAAGGCGACGAUCAGUAGCUGGUCUGAGAGGACGACCAGCCACACUGGGACUGAGACACGGCCCAGACUCCUACGGGAGGCAGCAGUGGGGAAUUUUGGACAAUGGGCGAAAGCCUGAUCCAGCAAUGCCGCGUGUGUGAAGAAGGCCUUCGGGUUGUAAAGCACUUUUGUCCGGAAAGAAAUCCUUGGCUCUAAUACAGUCGGGGGAUGACGGUACCGGAAGAAUAAGCACCGGCUAACUACGUG